ensembl:lncRNA novel transcript, antisense to TMEM62
CUUAUUCAUCAUUCAUUCAUUUAUUUGAUUAGUUGAAAACACUUCCGACUAAGGAAGCAGAGAGCCCACAAUCCUGUGGGAAAACAGGCCUGGGAACUAAUAUCUCAGGGGUAGUGAGGGUCGGGCCCAGAUCCUCAAAGGGGAGAAUAAAAAAGCUAGGGUGCCGUAUGUUGCAUAAAGAAAGUAGCAGGAAUAAACCUGCCAGAUGUACAGCAGUAGCAUAAGUAGGUGAACAGGCAUAAUUUUCAAGUAUUUUCUUUGAUGGAGAUGAGACCUGAAGUUGUGACCAAAGCACCGCUGCAGCAAGCUCCAACACAUGUAAGCCAUCAAGGGGAUGUUAAAAAACGCCAGCUGGAAAAGAACAGAACCAUAGCUUACUCCCAAGUCCUUGGAAGAGUUUGGUCUUAAUAAUGCAUUAUUAGUGGAUCCUAAGACUAUGCUGCUAUCUGUCUUGGCGUUAGCUAAUUUACUUCAAGCACAGUUGCUUAUAACACAACAGCUGACUUGUGGCUAGUUGUGUAUUUGCCCAUGU